CACGUAGGCACCAAGCGUUGUCCGGAUUUAUUGGGCGUAAAGAGCCGUAGAGCGGUUCAGUAAGUCAGGUGUGAAAUCUUUGGGCUUAACCCAAAGCGUGCACUUGAUACUGCUGUGACUUGAGUUCGGUAGGGGAGUGGGGAAUUCCUAGUGUAGCGGUGAAAUGCGCAGAUAUUAGGAGGAACACCGGUGGCGAAGGCGCCACUCUGGGCCGAAACUGACGCUGAGGAGCGAAAGCGUGGGUAGCAAACAGG
rnacentral:rRNA from 1 species